GUAGCCGGCCUGAGAGGGCGACCGGCCACACUGGGACUGAGACACGGCCCAGACUCCUACGGGAGGCAGCAGUGGGGAAUAUUGCGCAAUGGGCGAAAGCCUGACGCAGCRACGCCGCGUGRGGGAUGAAGGCCUUCGGGUUGUAAACCUCUUUCAGCAGGGAAGAAGCGAAAGUGACGGUACCUGCAGAAGAAGCACCGGCUAACUACGUGCCAGCAGCCGCGGUAAUACGUAGGGUGCAAGCGUUGUCCGGAUUUAUUGGGCGUAAAGAGCUCGUAGGCGGUUAGUCACGUCGGAUGUGAAAUCCCGGAGCUNAACUCCGGGCCUGCAUUCGAUACGGGCUGACUCGAGUGUNGUAGGGGAGACUGGAAUUCCU
rnacentral:rRNA from 1 species